rnacentral:pre_miRNA from 1 species
UUAGCUCAUAUUUGUAUGGAAUGGGAUCGUUUGCGUGCGUUUGCCGCUAGGGGCGCUGUUCCAACUGCAUACAAAAUUGGGUUA